GACGAACGCUGGCGGCGUGCUUAACACAUGCAAGUCGAACGGAAAGGCCCUGCUUUUGUGGGGUGCUCGAGUGGCGAACGGGUGAGUAACACGUGAGUAACCUGCCCUUGACUUUGGGAUAACUUCAGGAAACUGGGGCUAAUACCGGAUAGGAGCUCCUGCUGCAUGGUGGGGGUUGGAAAGUUUCGGCGGUUGGGGAUGGACUCGCGGCUUAUCAGCUUGUUGGUGGGGUAGUGGCUUACCAAGGCUUUGACGGGUAGCCGGCCUGAGAGGGUGACCGGCCACAUUGGGACUGAGAUACGGCCCAGACUCCUACGGGAGGCAGCAGUGGGGAAUAUUGCACAAUGGGCGGAAGCCUGAUGCAGCAACGCCGCGUGCGGGAUGACGGCCUUCGGGUUGUAAACCGCUUUCGCCUGUGACGAAGCGUGAGUGACGGUAAUGGGUAAAGAAGCACCGGCUAACUACGUGCCAGCAGCCGCGGUGAUACGUAGGGUGCGAGCGUUGUCCGGAUUUAUUGGGCGUAAAGGGCUCGUAGGUGGUUGAUCGCGUCGGAAGUGUAAUCUUGGGGCUUAACCCUGAGCGUGCUUUCGAUACGGGUUGACUUGAGGAAGGUAGGGGAGAAUGGAAUCCCUGGUGGAGCGGUGGAAUGCGCAGAUAUCAGGAGGAACACCAGUGGCGAAGGCGGUUCUCUGGGCCUUUCCUGACGCUGAGGAGCGAAAGCGUGGGGAGCGAACAGGCUUAGAUACCCUGGUAGUCCACGCUGUAAACGGUGGGUACUAGGUGUGGGGUCCAUUCCACGGGUUCCGUGCCGUAGCUAACGCUUUAAGUACCCCGCCUGGGGAGUACGGCCGCAAGGCUAAAACUCAAAGGAAUUGACGGGGCCCCGCACAAGCGGCGGAGCAUGCGGAUUAAUUCGAUGCAACGCGUAGAACCUUACCUGGGUUUGACAUGGAUCGGGAGUGCUCAGAGAUGGGUGUGCCUCUUUUGGGGUCGGUUCACAGGUGGUGCAUGGCUGUCGUCAGCUCGUGUCGUGAGAUGUUGGGUUAAGUCCCGCAACGAGCGCAACCCUUGUUCACUGUUGCCAGCACGUUAUGGUGGGGACUCAGUGGAGACCGCCGGGGUCAACCCGGAGGAAGGUGGGGAUGACGUCAAGUCAUCAUGCCCCUUAUGUCCAGGGCUUCACGCAUGCUACAAUGGCUGGUACAGAGAGUGGCGAGCCUGUGAGGGUGAGCGAAUCUCGGAAAGCCGGUCUCAGUUCGGAUUGGGGUCUGCAACUCGACCUCAUGAAGUCGGAGUCGCUAGUAAUCGCAGAUCAGCAACGCUGCGGUGAAUACGUCCCCGGGGCU
rnacentral:rRNA from 1 species